rnacentral:rRNA from 1 species
AGAGUUUGAUCAUGGCUCAGAACUAACGCUGGCGGCGUGCCUAACACAUGCAAGUCGUACGAGAAAGUUGGCUUCGGCCGAUGAGUAAAGUGGCGCACGGGUGAGUAACGCGUGGAUAAUCUACCCCUCAGUUGGGAAUAACUCAUCGAAAGGUGGGCUAAUACCGAAUAAUACUGCAUGACUUCUGUUGUAUAGUCAAAGAUGGCCUCUGCUUGCAAGCUAUCGCUGAAGGAUGAGUCCGCGUACCAUUAGCUAGUUGGUAGGGUAAUGGCCUACCAAGGCAACGAUGGUUAGCUGGUCUGAGAGGAUGAUCAGCCACACUGGAACUGAGACACGGUCCAGACUCCUACGGGAGGCAGCAGUGAGGAAUAUUGCGCAAUGGGGGCAACCCUGACGCAGCAACGCCGCGUGAGUGAGGAAGGUUUUCGGACCGUAAAGCUCUGUCGAGCGGGAAGAAAUGCAUAGUGGCUAAUAUCCAUUAUGCUUGACGGUACCGCUAAAGGAAGCACCGGCUAACUCCGUGCCAGCAGCCGCGGUAAUACGGGGGGUGCUAGCGUUGUUCGGAAUCAUUGGGCGUAAAGAGCGUGUAGGCGGCUGGAUAAGUCAGAUGUGAAAGCCCUGGGCUUAACCCAGGAAGUGCAUUUGAAACUGUUCAGCUUGAGUAAGGGAGAGGAAAGUGGAAUUCCUGGUGUAGAGGUGAAAUUCGUAGAUAUCAGGAGGAACACCGGUGGCGAAGGCGACUUUCUGGCCCUAUACUGACGCUGAGACGCGAGAGCGUGGGUAGCAAACAGGAUUAGAUACCCUGGUAGUCCACGCUGUAAACGAUGCUCACUAGGUGUUGGGGGUAUUGACCCUCUCAGUGCCGCAGCUAACGCAUUAAGUGAACCGCCUGGGGAGUACGGUCGCAAGAUUAAAACUCAAAGGAAUUGACGG